rnacentral:rRNA from 1 species
AACGAACGCUGGCGGCAGGCUUAACACAUGCAAGUCGAACGCCCCGCAAGGGGAGUGGCAGACGGGUGAGUAACGCGUGGGAACGUGCCCUUCGCUUCGGAAUAGCCCCGGGAAACUGGGAGUAAUACCGAAUACGCCGUAUUGGGAAAGAUUUAUCGGCGAAGGAUCGGCCCGCGUUAGAUUAGGUAGUUGGCGGUGUAAUAGACCACCAAGCCUACGAUCUCUUGCUGGUCUGAGAGGAUGAUCCGCCACCCUGGCACUGAGACCCGGGCCAGACUCCUACGGGAGGCAGCAGUGGGGAAUCUUGGACAAUGGGCGCAAGCCUGAUCCAGCCAUGCCGCGUGAGUGAAGAAGGCCUUAGGGUUGUAAAACUCUUUCGCCGGAGAAGAUAAUGACGGUAUCCGGAGAAGAAGCCCCGGCUAACUUCGUGCCAGCCGCCGCCGUAA